CUGCUCUUAAAACAACCUUAUUUCUGUCCUAGGGGCUUGUCGUAACUCAAACAGCCCUGCGUAUGGCUCAUUACAUCAAUGGCUUCUUAUGGACUCCAUCUCCCAGCAAAUCCAAAGGACAUUUAAUUAUUUUGGCCUGAAAGAUUUGGUAUGGAAUGCUAUUCAGGAUGCACAGAGGAAAAUCCUCAUCUUGGCAUGGUCUGACACCCUUCAGCUUUUUACUUCAGAAAUUCUAGUUUUGGGUCAGAUUGAUAAAUGCCAACCAUUUCUGAGUUCUACAGCUGAAGUUUCCACAUGGAUUUCCUUUUUACAUCUGUUGCCUUAAAAAACAGUCUGUAGUCUUCCCAGAAGCUCCCCUAAUACUCACAGAGGAUGAGCUUACUUUACCAGGAGAUCUAAAAUACUGACUCAGCAGUCUUCAUGAAGCUGGAUAUGUUACCUCUCCAGUACAGAAUUUGAUGGACUGCCAGUGUAAAGUAGCUUCACAAACGACACACAAUUUCACCUAUUGCUUUAUUUUUCUUUUAUUUUUCUACCUGCUCUGCCUCUCUGAUUCUGUCAUCUGAAUAUGUAUAUGUGUGUAUUCAUAUGUAAAAAGAUUCCAUUCAAGUUGCACUGAGGAGUAAAAAUGGCAAGUAAAAUUGUAAGUGUUUGGUUUCAAUUUUCUGUGACUAAUUCCAGUGAUUUACUUUUAGC
rnacentral:lncRNA from 1 species